GACGAACGCUGGCGGCGUGCUUAACACAUGCAAGUCGAACGGUGAAGCGCCUUCCUUUUUGGUGGGUGUGGAUGAGUGGCGAACGGGUGAGUAACACGUGAGUAACCUGCCCCCUUCUUCUGGAUAACCGCAUGAAAGUGUGGCUAAUACGGGAUAUUCUGGGUCUGUCGCAUGAUGGGUCUGGGAAAGAUAUUGUUUCGGUGGGGGAUGGGCUCGCGGCCUAUCAGCUUGUUGGUGGGGUGAUGGCCUACCAAGGCGGUGACGGGUAGCCGGCCUGAGAGGGUGGACGGUCACACUGGGACUGAGACACGGCCCAGACUCCGACGGGAGGCAGCAGUGGGGAAUAUUGCACAAUGGGCGCAAGCCUGAUGCAGCGACGCCGCGUGAGGGAUGGAGGCCGUCGGGUUGUGAACCUCUUUCGCCAGUGAAGCAGGCCUGCCUCGUUUGUGGGUGGGUUGACGGUAGCGGGAUAAGAAGCGCCGGCUAACUACGU
rnacentral:rRNA from 1 species